rnacentral:rRNA from 1 species
AGCGUCAAACCCAACCGUUGAGUCAAGAUCUCGAGCAACUUUAAUUUCGAAGGGUCUCAAACCUAACCUAAUGUCGAGGGGAAUACGAUUCGAGAUUAAACGGUCGUGACAAGAUCUCGAGCAAGUUCCGAAGUGCGUUAAACCUUAUACACAUUUAAUAGGUUCAGGUUCUCAAGGCAAGACCCCUGUCGAGCGAACAAGAGUUUCUUUACAAACCUCAAUAUCUACCUACUCGAGGUCCUCCACAAGAUGCUUCGGGUGCGGGGAACAGGGGAGGGGACGAAGAGGCGACGGCGGAGAAAGAGGCGGUUUAGGUGUAGUGGCGGCACGGACAACGACCCUACCCUGUCCCCACCUCCGCUCCCUCUCUCCCCCCAACUGAGCCGUCACGGCGGACCGUCACAUACCCCACAGAUCUCCUCCCCUCACGCCGUGCCAUUUGAGGAGGAGGCGAUGUCUCGUCAGGUGCUGCGCCAGUGGCAGCAGGAGUGGAAGAUUCGCAGACACUACAGUAGCGGUAGCGGUUCGGGGGAGCGGUGUGCCAUGUGUAUCUACCCUCUCCGCCAUCCUACGUCGUCGAGCGGAUAAGGAACCAGCGGCGGCUAAGGUUCACUCUUCUGCACUCAUGCUUAGACACAGAAAGAAAAACGGGGCAGGGAGGGUACUUAAAACGAGCCUAGAACCACUCGAGGAGUUGGUGGGCUAAAGAAGAAUAAAGUUCACACGUGUGGAAAUCGAGCUGAACACCACCGCCGCUUAUAAUGAUCUCGUCUCCGUACGUGGAAAGCAAAAAACAGGAGAAGCAACCACCCUUCCGCUUCGCCUAACCUCCUUCGGUACACUUGAACCACUCUCUCCUCUACCCCAUCCCGCCGUUCGACACACCCUGCUGAGCCGUGACCACCUGCGGAACCUAGUGUGGCAGCGGUGGAUUUUCUAUACGCGGGAGUGGGGGGAAACUAAGAGAACGGGAAAGACGGAACGACCCUCUUCUACAUACACACAAGACAAAAACCGUUACCGCAAGUACAUUCGCGCAAGUGCAGUACAAGGCAAGACGUUACGUGUUCAUGAUACAAGAGAAAAUAAGGACCUUAGCACAGAUAAGUGUGUUCAUGAUACGUGUGUCAUCGAAACUUAGACAAAAAAUUCAAUAACAUACCAUUUCCGCAUGAAAAUACCCAACUAACUAUCUUACCUAGACAUACACGAUAUCUAUCGAUUAGUAAACGUUGUUAAAUUAUUCUUGAAGAGACCAAGUGGUUAGUUCAGGAGUAAAAGGAUAGUAAGUUAUACGACUACUAUGGUAGGAGUAUCAGUUUCGACUCCGGUGAGUUAACUACGUAUAGUUUUUAGAUGAGGAAGUAAAACGACGGAAGUAACCAGACUUUCAAUUGAUGUCGUUCAGUUAGUACUAAGGGUAGUUGUGAAGACUACUUGUCUACGUCAAAAACAGAAGAUAGAAACUUACAGUCUAACCAUUUGAAGGAGUAUGAAUAAACCCAAAUGGGGAGUCGUAUGUGUUUGGAUCUCACCUCUUAAUGAAUGGAGAAGACUUCUCUCAACUUUUGUCUCACGAACCAACAAGUUGAGGCGAAAGAUACCCUCUGUUUAAUUGAGAGUAAUUCAGUCAAAAGAGAUCGAACGGUUAAAAGAAGUGCACGUGAGAGUCAAAUGGAUUUUGUCACCAAUUCGUUAAUUUGUAAAUAGAGUUCUUGACGAAGAUCUCCUUUAAACCUUGUUGACUCUCUCUACGUGGUGAGUAUCGAACCCUAUAUCGUACAGUUGGAUUUCGAUUACCUCCUGAACCCUAAAACCUAUAACUCUAAGCGUUGUUCCGAGAGGAAGAGUUUGUCGAAGUAUUUAAAAACUUAUUCCAACUAUGAGGAACCUAGUUAUAACACACCCUUAGGAUGAUAAGGUUAAGUGAAGGACCCCUCUCUGACCAUCCUAGAAAGACCACUUUUCGAUAAGAGUUCGAGGACGGUCAGAUGUUCGUUAAACGAGACGUUUCGUUUGAGACUUCGGAGAUGUAAAGACACCAGACUAUUUACCACGCUAGUUGGUGAACUAUGGUUUAAAGGAUUCGAUGUGAGAAAACGUUCUCUAUUAAAACAUAGAAACUUCUGUCGAUACUUACCGGAACUAGACAUAGAAAGUUUUAAAGAAUGUACGGUACAAGUACACAAUAUUCUAUCGUUGUUUCGUUCACCUUACCCGCGAAUGGUUGGACCGCGGCGGGCUGAAGGAGAGUUCUCCGCGGUGGCCCACUGCGGUGUUGGGGAUCAUUUUCAAUAUCGUGCAGUAAUAUCGUGAAAAUUACGCGGCCCUGGUUGUAACGAAAUCGUCUGCGGGUUUUUGUGCGUAGGUUUUUUUGUACGUCACGUUUAACACUUCGCACCCGUUAGGCCUCAGGUUUUAUACGAUACGCGCUAUCGCAAAAAGUCGCGCACGGGUUUUGGAAAAUCACGCUCG